UUCUAUAGGAUUGGUUUGACGAUUUUUUCAACAAAUAGCUUAUGGGUGAUGAGAGCUGGGUUCACACCUGUUACAUCUUUUGGGGACCAAGUGAAAGUGGUUACUCGGCUCUUUAGAAAUUCUACUAGAUGAGUCUUUGUUUCAUUAGUUAACGCAGUGUUGAACCACACCUUUUGCUCCUUACAUAUCUGGACCUCCUCUAUCAGGUCUGCCGGUUCUAGCUUCAUGUGAGAUUUUGACUUCUCCAGCAAGUUGAUGGGCAUGAAUGCUUUUCUAAGACUUUUUGCUGGGUGUUCGUAGCCUUCUUUGGCUAAUCUCAAAUUGCC
rnacentral:lncRNA from 1 species